rnacentral:rRNA from 1 species
GACGAACGCUGGCGGCGUGCUUAACACAUGCAAGUCGAACGAUGAACUUGGAGCUUGCUCUGGGGGAUUAGUGGCGAACGGGUGAGUAACACGUGAGUAACCUGCCCUGGACUCUGGGAUAACUUCGAGAAAUCGGAGCUAAUACCGGAUAGGACCUUGCACCGCAUGGUGUGGGGUGGAAAGUUUUUCGGUUUGGGAUGGACUCGCGGCCUAUCAGCUUGUUGGUGAGGUAAUGGCUCACCAAGGCGUCGACGGGUAGCCGGCCUGAGAGGGUGACCGGCCACACUGGGACUGAGACACGGCCCAGACUCCUACGGGAGGCAGCAGUGGGGAAUAUUGCACAAUGGGCGCAAGCCUGAUGCAGCAACGCCGCGUGCGGGAUGACGGCCUUCGGGUUGUAAACCGCUUUUAGUAGGGAAGGAGCGAGAGUGACGGUACCUGCAGAAAAAGCGCCGGCUAACUACGUGCCAGCCGCCGCAGUAACAC